UACGUAGGCAGCAAGCGUUGUUCGGAGUUACUGGGCGUAAAGAGUGCGUAGGUGGUGCCCUAAGUCUGUUGUGAAAUCUCCCGGCUUAACUGGGAGGGUGCGGUGGAAACUGGGGUGCUUGAGUGUGGGAGAGGUAAGCGGAAUUCCUGGUGUAGCGGUGAAAUGCGUAGAUAUCAGGAGGAACACCGGUGGUGUAGACGGCUUACUGGACCACGACUGACACUGAGGCACGAAAGCGUGGGUAGCAAACAGG
rnacentral:rRNA from 2 species